AGGGGAGUAGCUCAGCUGGUAGAGCAUCGGUCUCCAAAACCGAGGGUCGCAGGUUCGAACCCUGUCUCCCUUGCCA
rnacentral:tRNA from 1 species